GACCCCUCCCUCCCCUUCUCUCCCUAACACAUCUCUCUUUCCCUCAUCUCUUCUCUCCCUUUUCUCUACACUUUCCGACCAGUGAGGGUCAACCACCACUGACCCGCGACCAAGUGGCUUCAAGAGACGCCGGCGAGCCACCAACCAGCCGGUAGCAUCGCCAGAUACGGCUGUAAGAGAGGGAGAAAGAGAGAGAAAACGCGCACAAUGGGCCGUGACUUCCCGUCGCAAUUUCGGUUUCAUCCGACGUCCGAUUGAGGCGAUUCAGGUGGCGUUGGAA
rnacentral:misc_RNA from 1 species